rnacentral:rRNA from 1 species
GAUGAACGCUAGCUACAGGCUUAACACAUGCAAGUCGAGGGACCGGCGCACGGGUGAGUAACACGUAUCCAACCUGCCCUUUACUCGGCGAUAGCCUUUCGAAAGAAAGAUUAAUACCCGAUAUAAAGGAUGGGUAUGCGUUCCCUUAGGUUGUUGGUGAGGUAAAGGCUAACCAAGCCUUCGAUGGAUAGGGGUUCUGAGAGUAAGGUCCCCCAAGUUGGAAUUGAGACACGGUCCAAUAGCUGACGGGAGGAAGCAGUGAGGAAUAUUGGUAAAUGGGCGUUAGCCUGAACCAGCCAAGUAGCGUGAAGGAUGAAGGCUUAUUGGUCGUAAACUUCUUUUAGAUAAGAAUAUGUAUUAUAUGAAUAAGGAUCGGCUAACUCCGUGCCAGCCGCCGCGGUAAUAC